GCGAGUGUGGCGGAAUGGUAGACGCGACGGAUUCAAAAUCCGUUUCCCGAGAGGGAGUGUGGGUUCGAGUCCCACCACUCGUACCA
rnacentral:tRNA from 1 species